GAUGAACGCUGGCGGCGUGCUUAACACAUGCAAGUCGAACGAAGCACUUUAUUUGAUUUCCUUCGGGACUGAUUAUUUUGUGACUGAGUGGCGGACGGGUGAGUAACGCGUGGGUAACCUGCCUUGUACAGGGGGAUAACAGUUGGAAACGGCUGCUAAUACCGCAUAAGCGCCCAGCAUCGCAUGAUGCAGUGUGAAAAACUCCGGUGGUAUAAGAUGGACCCGCGUUGGAUUAGCUAGUUGGUGAGGUAACGGCCCACCAAGGCGACGAUCCAUAGCCGACCUGAGAGGGUGACCGGCCACAGUGGGACUGAGACACGGCCCAAACUCCUACGGGAGGCAGCAGUGGGGAAUAUUGCACAAUGGGCGAAAGCCUGAUGCAGCGACGCCGCGUGAGCGAAGAAGUAUUUCGGGAUGUAAAGCUCUAUCAGCAGGGAAGAUAAUGACGGUACCUGACUAAGAAGCACCGGCUAAAUACGUG
rnacentral:rRNA from 1 species